rnacentral:RNase_P_RNA from 1 species
UGGGUCGGCAAGACGGCCGCGUCGUCAGCACUCCUGGAGUGCCGGCGCCGAGGAACGUCCGGGCUCCACAGAGCAGGGCGGUGGGUAACACCCACCCGGGGCAACCCGCGAGACAGUGCCACAGAAAACAGACCGCCCGUCGCGUGCGACGGGUAAGGGUGAAACGGUGGUGUAAGAGACCACCAGCGACCGGGGCGACCCGGCCGGCUCGGUAAACCUCGCCCGGAGCAAGGUCAGACAGGGAACGCCAAGGCUGCUCGCCGAGUUCCCGGGUAGACCGCUAGAGGGCUGCGGCAACGUAGUCCCGAGAUAGAUGGCCGUCCAGUGCGAUGUCUGACAUCGUGCGAACAGAACCCGGCGUAUCAGCCGGCCCAUUCC